rnacentral:rRNA from 1 species
UCGCCCCAUAGUCUGGGAUACCACUUGGAAACAGGUGCUAAUACCGGAUAAGAAAGCGGAUCGCAUGAUCAGCUUUUAAAAGGCGGCGUAAGCUGUCGCUAUGGGAUGGCCCCGCGGUGCAUUAGCUAGUUGGUAAGGUAAAGGCUUACCAAGGCGAUGAUGCAUAGCCGAGUUGAGAGACUGAUCGGCCACAUUGGGACUGAGACACGGCCCAAACUCCUACGGGAGGCAGCAGGG